rnacentral:rRNA from 1 species
AGAGUUUGAUCCUGGCUCAGGAUGAACGCUGGCGGCGUGCUUAACACAUGCAAGUCGAACGGAAAGGCUCCUGCUUGCAGGGGUACUCGAGUGGCGAACGGGUGAGUAACACGUGGGUGAUCUGCCCUGCACUUCGGGAUAAGCCUGGGAAACUGGGUCUAAUACCGGAUAGGACGAUGGUUUGGAUGCCAUUGUGGAAAGUUUUUCGGUGUGGGAUGAGCUCGCGGCCUAUCAGCUUGUUGGUGGGGUAAUGGCCUACCAAGGCGUCGACGGGUAGCCGGCCUGAGAGGGUGUACGGCCACAUUGGGACUGAGAUACGGCCCAGACUCCUACGGGAGGCAGCAGUGGGGAAUAUUGCACAAUGGGCGCAAGCCUGAUGCAGCGACGCCGCGUGGGGGAUGACGGCCUUCGGGUUGUAAACUCCUUUCGCUAGGGACGAAGAGCAAUUGACGGUACCUGGAGAAGAAGCACCGGCUAACUACGUG